AGACGAACCGUACAAACGUUAUUCGGAAUUACUGGGCUUAAAGGGUGCGUAGGCGGCGUGGCAAGUUGGGUGUGAAAUCCCUCGGCUCAACCGGGGAACUGCGCCCAAAACUGCUAUGCUAGAGGGAGACAGGGGUGAGCGGAACUUAGGGUGGAGCGGUGAAAUGCGUUGAUAUCUUAAGGAACACCGGUGGCGAAGGCGGCUCACUGGGUCUCUUCUGACGCUAAGGCACGAAAGCUAGGGGAGCGAACGGGAUUAGAAACCCCAGUAGUCC
rnacentral:rRNA from 1 species